CAAACCCCACUCAUCCUCUUGCUUUAUUGGAUGCCAGAAAGUGUAUGUUUAAGGAUCAAUGGAUCUUGCCAAUAGAAAGAAUGCUCUCUAUCAUCACAUGAUCUGCUCAGCUUCUUAUGAAGUCUAAAUUGAAAAUCUAAAAAGUGCAAGCACAGAGGAUGCAAAGCUGACAGACUAAAUGUCACAAAAAGCAAAUGAGGAAAUGUAGCAGAGAACAAUGGAAGGGGCACUGAAUUUGAAGAGGCAAGACCUGAAUACCAAAUCAGGCUCUGCCAUUUAUUAUUUGCAUGACCGAGGGUUGCUCAGCUCUACAAUUCUAAUACCUAAAGCACUCUGGGAAUAUCAUUUAUCAAAUAAGAUACUCUUCUUCUGCCUGCCUGCCUGCCUGCCCUCCAAAACCUCGCUCCAAGUUAUAAGCCUUAUUUACUAUGUUAAUGAAAAGCCAGUAGUUAUGAAUGUCCAGUGCUAUGGGAAUGGCAGAAAGAAAAUAACCCCUUACAUACAAGAAAUUAGGACUAAGGACCAUUUUAUUACAAGACUAGCUGCUGUUUCAAAGACAGUAAACAUGAUGAAUUCUUCUUUUCAGCCGAAUUUAUGAAGAUAGAUGAUCUCUUUGUGGUUGUUUUCAAUAUCUUGUGGGUCUCAGGCAAAGUUGCAAAACCAUACAAAUAUAUUUAUUAUUGUCUCUAAUGACAGGAUAAGAUAUCUUAUAUAUGACUUGAGAAACGGAGGUUGUGUUUUCUCAGGACAAGAUUUUUAAAAAAGGAUUCAUCCAAUUUCCACAUCUUGAUAGAAAAGAUUUCACAUUAUCUAAGGCAGCACCUGUUUUUGCUUUUUCUAAACCCAUUUAUUGCAUUUGGUUCAGUCAGGACAUACAAAUCCUUUGGGGGUAAUUUUAUCGAAGGAGCCAAUAUGGUCCCAUGGAAAGAAUGGAAUCAUAGAACUAGAGUUCAAAUCCCCAUUCUGCAACUUACUAAUUGUGUGACCUUGUACAACAAAUUUCUGGGCCGUUUUUUUUCUUAUCUGUAAAAUGAGAAGAUUGGAUUGGAUGACUUCCAAAAUCCUUUCCAAGUCUAGAUCCUAUGAUCUAUUGGACAAAUACCAAGGUAGGAAUUGGUUGCCAAGCUCUGUCCUUUAUUCUCAAAUAUUCAUUUCACACUUCAGCUUUUUGUUAGCUGACUUGGAAGAAAGGGCUAAAGGUAAUAAGAAGAGAUUUUCUUAGCUUAAUUUUAAAGUGUCUUUCCAAUUCAAAACCUCUGUUCAAACAUGAGGGCACACACAUAGCAACAGAGGAGGAAAAAAGGCUUAACUUUGUUAAUGAUUAAUGUGGGGAUCAUUGGCUAAGCAGAUUACAAAAGAAAGCCAUUUUGUUUAGUUUUAAUUCUACCAGGAUCAUUUACCUUUUGAAGGAUAGAAAAGAAUGAAUUGAAGAUCAAAAUCAUCAGCCCUAUUUGGCUUCAUCCAAGAUUUAUGGCAGCUGCUUUCAAGGAUAGCUAAAAGCAAUUGCAGAAUUCACAUCUGCACCACUUUCAUGUUCUUCCUUCAAUAUUUUAUAAAUGCUCCAAUGUAGUCAACUUUUGGGGACUUUAAAAUUAAAUGUAAACUCCCCUCCCCAUGUCUGAAUAAGAACAUGUGCCAAUAAUCACUAAAUUUAACUACUUCUUCUGAAUUCACACUAUUUUUGAUUAGCUAUCCCUAAGUGCUGCAUAUGCAUUUUUUCACAAAGAUAGUUAUAAUGUGGAUUUUUUCUGUGUGUGUGUGUGUCUGUAUGUAUGUAUAUAUGUGUGUAUGUGUAAUUAGAAACAUAAAAUUUUAAUUUAAAUUGUUAAUACAGUCAUGAGCUUUUGACUUGGAUUCAUUUUUAAAAAAACAUUCAAAGGAUAUCAGCCGGACAUUCAAAAUGAAGAUAUAUUGUACUUAAUUUAAGUGUCUUUAUGUGCAGCAAAAAGAAAAUAAACAAA